rnacentral:rRNA from 1 species
GACGAACGCUGGCGGCGUGCCUAAUACAUGCAAGUAGAACGCUGAAGGAGGAGCUUGCUUCUCUGGAUGAGUUGCGAACGGGUGAGUAACGCGUAGGUAACCUGCCUGGUAGCGGGGGAUAACUAUUGGAAACGAUAGCUAAUACCGCAUAAUAGUAGAUGUUGCAUGACAUUUGCUUAAAAGGUGCAAUUGCAUCACUACCAGAUGGACCUGCGUUGUAUUAGCUAGUUGGUGGGGUAACGGCUCACCAAGGCGACGAUACAUAGCCGACCUGAGAGGGUGAUCGGCCACACUGGGACUGAGACACGGCCCAGACUCCUACGGGAGGCAGCAGUAGGGAAUCUUCGGCAAUGGACGGAAGUCUGACCGAGAAACGCCGCGUGAGUGAAGAAGGUUUUCGGAUCGUAAAGCUCUGUUGUAAGAGAAGAACGAGUGUGAGAGUGGAAAGUUCACACUGUGACGGUAUCUUACCAGAAAGGGACGGCUAACUACGUG